CUGUAUUUAUGACGUCAAGAUUUGUUAUCAUUUGUAAUUUAUGUGCUGUUUGUAUUUUCAGGAAAAAAGUCUUCUUGGUACAUAUUGAUACCUGUUAUCUACAACAGCAAAUUUGAGAAAUCAGUCUAGAAAUUCUAGCAUAGCUAAAGAUGUCGUCUUCUUAAAGAUGUGCAGAACCAGAAUUUUAGUUAUAUUUCAAAAAUGUUUCACUACUAUUUCAUCAUAAACAACAGUAUGGUUAGAAACUGGACUCUUGGAAAUCUACACCAGGAAAACAUCUGCAGGUGUUUUUACAGCGAAGGGGGAAUGAGACUCUGUCCCCUGAAUGGGAAUAAAAUGCCCCUGAGCAUUGUAACUGCAAUGCUGGCUGAAUUUUGCAGUUUGCUCCAUUCACAUCUGGUUGGAAGCAAGGCCUGGAUUGUAUAAGAGAUGCGUGCAUCCAAAGAGAUCCCCAACUAAGAACUCUGACUCCCCCCCGGGUUUCUCUUGGAGCAGUACGAAGUCUGAAAGCCAGUGGCAACACGGAUGAGGCGUUGAUUUUGAGCAAACAUUUGGGAAAGAGGUGUGCAACGUUUGCCGUCUGCGUUCAAAAUUUCUGAAAUAUGACACAGGUAGAACGUGAAAGAAUAUUCAGAAAAUAUCUCUGAGAGGAGUUCUAUGACUAACCCCAAGUUACAGCCUUAAUCCAUUAAACACAUUUUAAAAACCACCAUAGGAUCCAGCUACACAAAAUCACUUGGCCAGAAGGGCUGGAGUUUAUAAAAAUGGAACUUGACUUUGAUUUUUGAGAACAGCUUAUUUGGAAUAAUGUAACACUUUGUCUGUGACCUUGAUUUGCCACUAUUUCUAGGAAAUCUGUAGGUUCGGUAGUGAUCUUCUUUCCCCCUUUAACUAUACAUCUUCAGAGCAAAAUGACUUGCUUCUAGAUUGUUGGCUACUAUUUGUUAUCUUGCUUGAACUUGUACUUGCCCAAACGUUCCUUGGUUGUUCUUUCUAUAGACGCUGUGUCCUGAUUCCUUUUGCCUGUAAUUGGCACAUAAGGGUUGACUGUUAUUUUGCUAUAAUUUUUCUUUUUUCUUAGCAAAGGGAAAAAUACUGGCAAGACUAAGACUAAUGAAUACAAACAAUGGAAGAGUUUUCACUUUCCUCAUGGCUUUCUAAGUAGAAUGCUAAAUCAUAUAAGAAAAACAUCCCUUUCAGAAACCAUCUUCUCCCUUCUAUGCAUGAAUGUCCCCUCUAUUCUUAAACAUGUUAGGAAUUCUUUGAAGACUUUUUGGAGCAACCAGUCAUCUGCAAAGAGAUUUGACUGGAAACUCAGGGUCGUUUAGAAUGACUUUCUUAUCUUGGACUCUAUAUCUCUACAAAUUCACUCAUAUGUUGGUAUGAUGUGUGAAUCUAUUUGACUAAAGCGUCAAGGCUUCAGAGUUUUUUGAACACUGAAAUCAAAGCUGCUCUGACAAAUAAUCCAAUAUUUGUUCCUCAUAAUAGCCAAAAAAUAUGUUUAUAUUUUACAUAUGUUCAACUUAUUUCAUAUCUAUCAUCGCAUAAGCAUAGCAUUAGGUAUAUAGCAAAAAGUGCAUGUGAAUUAGUAAGUCAUUAUUAAAUUGAAUUUGUCUUAAAUAUUGUAAACUUACAUUCAGACACAAAUAAUGAACAUACACAUAGAUAUACUUUAAAUUUGAAAUCUUCUUUUUUCACUCUAAUGAUUUUCAUCUCAUUCAAUAUAAAUGAUCCAUCACUUACAUGUAUUAUUUCCAAUAAAAUAUACCUUAUACUAUUCA
rnacentral:lncRNA from 1 species